rnacentral:rRNA from 1 species
AUACUUAGGGUGCAAGCGUUAAUCGGAAUUACUGGGCGUAAAGCGCUCGUAGGCGGCUUGUAAAGUCGGAUGUGAAAUCCCCGGGCUCAACCUGGGAACUGCAUUCGAUACUGGCAGGCUAGAGUAUACUAGAGGCAAGUGGAAUUUCGGGUGUAGCGGUGAAAUGCGUAGAUAUCCGAAGGAACAUCAGUGGCGAAGGCGACUUGCUGGACUAAUACUGACGCUGAGGAGCGAAAGCGUGGGGAGCAAACAGCAUUAGAAACCCCAGUAGUCC